AGGUAGCGUUUACUUACCUCCCCUGCAGCUCCUCCAGCUCCCAGUGUAAAUCUCGCGGCCCUUAGUGCCGCGCAGAGCGUUGCCAUGGGUCUCGCGAGACUUACACUGGGAGCUGGAGGAGCUGCAGGGGAGGUAAGUAAACGCUAC